UAGGGAAUCUUGCGCAAUGGGCGAAAGCCUGACGCAGCCAUGCCGCGUGAAUGAUGAAGGUCUUAGGAUUGUAAAAUUCUUUCACCGGGGAAGAUAAUGACGGUACCCGGAGAAGAAGCCCCGGCUAACUUCGUGCCAGCAGCCGCGGUAAUACGAAGGGGGCUAGCGUUGCUCGGAAUUACUGGGCGUAAAGGGCGCGUAGGCGGACAUUUAAGUCGGGGGUGAAAGCCCAGGGCUCAACCCUGGAAUAGCCUUCGAUACUGGAUGUCUUGAGUUCGGGAGAGGUGAGUGGAACUCCGAGUGUAGAGGUGAAAUUCGUAGAUAUUCGGAAGAACACCAGUGGCGAAGGCGACUCACUGGCCCGAUACUGACGCUGAUGCGCGAAAGCGUGGGGAGCAAACA
rnacentral:rRNA from 1 species